rnacentral:lncRNA from 1 species
UGCAAUUGUAUCCACCCGUAUUUCAACGUCUAUGAGAAGAAUACCCUCUUCAAUGUCCUAACAAGCUGCUAACAACUACCCUUGCAGGCGUUGAUUGAUGGGAUAAAAGAAGCACGCUGUGGAAUCGAACCACAAUCUUUUUCCUUACAUGGCGAAAGUCGAGAGUGAAAAUCUAGACUCGAAAGCAUACGCUUGUUAGAGGUGAUCCCCGC